rnacentral:rRNA from 1 species
UAACGCGUGGGUAACCUGCCCUUUUGUGGGGAACAACUUCGAGAAAUCGGAGCUAAUACCGCAUAAUAAUAGAGGAUCGCAUGAUUCUUUAAGGAAAGAUGGCCUCUGAAGAUGCUAUCGCAAAAGGGUGGACCCGCGUCUGAUUAGCUAGUUGGAAGGGUAACGGCCUACCAAGGCAACGAUCAGUAGCCGGCCUGAGAGGGUGAACGGCCACAUUGGGACUGAGACGCGGCCCAAACUCCUACGGGAGGCAGCAGUGGGGAAUCUUCCGCAAUGGGCGAAAGCCUGACGGAGCAAUGCCGCGUGAGUGAAGAAGGCCUUCGGGUUGUAAAACUCUGUCCUUAUCGAAGAGAGGUAGGUAUGUGAAUAAUGUACCUAUAGGACGGUAGAUAAGGAGGAAGCCCCGGCUAACUACGUGCCAGCAGCCGCGGUAAUACGUAGGGGGCGAGCGUUGUCCGGAAUCACUGGGCGUAAAGGGCGCGUAGGCGGUUUAAUAAGUCAGUGGUGAAAACUGAGGGCUCAACCCUCAGCCUGCCACUGAUACUGUUAGACUUGAGUAUGGAAGAGGAGAAUGGAAUUCCUAGUGUAGCGGUGAAAUGCGUAGAUAUUAGGGGGAACACCGGUGGCGAAGGCGGCCUGCUGGACUGCAACUGACGUUGAGGCCCGAAAGCGUGCGGAGCAAACAGGAUUAGAUACCCUGGUAGU